GACCACCCCCUCAGGGGUUAAGGCCAUACGGACAGCCGGGUCAACUGCCGA
rnacentral:sRNA from 1 species